rnacentral:rRNA from 1 species
GACGAACGCUGGCGGCGUGCCUAAUACAUGCAAGUAGAACGCACAGUUUAUACCGUAGCUUGCUACACCAUAGACUGUGAGUUGCGAACGGGUGAGUAACGCGUAGGUAACCUGCCUGGUAGCGGGGGAUAACUAUUGGAAACGAUAGCUAAUACCGCAUAAUAUUAAUUAUUGCAUGAUAAUUGAUUGAAAGAUGCAACUGCAUCACUACCAGAUGGACCUGCGUUGUAUUAGCUAGUAGGGGAGGUAACGGCUCACCUAGGCGACGAUACAUAGCCGACCUGGGAAGGUGAUCGGCCACCCUGGGACUGGGACACGGCCCAGGAUCCUACGGGAGGCAGCAGUAGGGAAACUUCGGCAAUGGACGAAAGUCUGACCGAGCAACGCCGCGUGAGUGAAGAAGGGUUUCGGAUCGUAAAGCUCUGUUGUAAGGGAAGAACGGGUGUGAGAGUGGAAAGUUCACACUGUGACGGUAUCUAACCAGAAAGGGACGGCUAACUACGUG